CAGGCACCUGUAACUAGGGCCCACUUAGAGUGGGCGCAGUGGUACCCGACCCUCCCAGGCAGGCUAGCCAUGUUCCAGGGGACAGUCCAACAUGUCCUGCAGCUGGGCACAUCUAAUAUCAGCUGGGAGAUAAAUGUGGGACCUCUGGCCCUGCUCUGUUGGCAUGGAGCAAAACUCUCAGGGACAAGCCAAAGUCAGCAAGUAGGUCAGAAUAAGGAGGGCUUUGUCACUCCUCUCAGGAUAUAAAAGGAGAAAGGACAGGCCAGAAACAGUCAGAGGCCUGCUGGGAACCCUGCAGCAGAGCCAGGGCUGGACCUGGAAUGCUCUGCCUUGUGGGACAGGCUUCUUGGGAGAAAGAAGCAACCACGUGUCUCACUAUUUAUUGGUGAGAGCCUCCUGCUGGCUGCUUCACACCCACUGCCACCUGGUACCAUGGCUGUGGCCGUCCCACUGGACUGAUGAAGGAUCUGCAGGCCUUGCUGCAGGCCACAAGCCAGAAGGGGAGCUCGCAUCGCCCCCCAGGAGCUCUGAAUCCCCACAGCUGCACAGUGCCUGUUUCCUAGCACAGGGGCCCUCUGCAGUUCCUGGCUGCAGUCACCAGCUCUGCCUGGUCCCUGGCUGAGUGCUGGGGCGCUCACUCCCACCAACCCUCCCCACAUCCUGACAAAUGCCCAAGUGCCACCGCCCCUCUGAGGCCCCCAACUGCACCUGGGGACAGCUCACAGACAGCACUGGGACGAUCUCCUUCCAGGCCUGGACUCUGAAUUGCCCCAGGAUCUGUGGCACAUGGACCUGAGCAGGGUGACUGACACCCCAGCUCUCCACGCUUCUGUCUGGCCGCCAGAGCCCCGGUGUGUCUGCAGCUCUCUGCACCACCCCAGGCCUCAUGUCUCCAGCUCUUGAGUCCAUGACAAGGAGGAACGGUGUCACUGGCUCACAACCUGACUGUGGGCACUUUCCCUGCACUGUGGCCACAUGCAGCCAUGAGGCCUUCCGGCUGCUCCCAGCUUCCUUUCCCUCCCCCCCUUCCCCCUCCCUUCCCUUCCCUUCCUUUCUCCGCCCAGGGCUCUCCUUGAUGCCUCCUACCCUGUGAGCUCCGGAGAACAGGGAUCCCCUCUCCAUCCACUCCAUUCCCUUCUCGGAAUCUCUCGACUGUGGAAUUCAUGUGUCCCGUGUGCCCACUGGAGAGGGGGCCUCUUGGGUGCCCUUGGGUCAGGGUGUGAUGUGCAGCAGGGAGGCUCAUUCCAUCAGGACCAAUAACUGUGGGGAGGGGCCCUGCAGGGGCAGAGGGAUGCUGUUCAGAGCUAUCCCUAGACCAUGUGCAUGUCCUGGUCCCCAGCACAUAACCCUCUUUUCAUCUCUCACUAACAAGAUCUGGUGAGCAUGUGACAUAUGACAAAACCAAGAUUGGAGAGUCUGCAUCACUGGGAGAUGGUCACAUUCUUAGCAAGUGGCAGUGCUGGUACUUAAACCAACAUGGGUGCUGACUGACUGGGUUCUAGCUCUUCCCACAGGCUAGCCACAUCCCACUUAAGGUGCUACUUGUGAGAUGAGGGGUAGAAGCUUGGGGUACGUCAGUCUUGCUCUAAAACUCAGACUCCCACUGGACCUCCCGUCAGGCCCCACAGGGCUGUGGGAGUCCAAGGGCUCUGUGCCUGCAGGGCAGCAGGGGCCACAGGCCCCAGGGAUCCUGUCCUGUCCCCACCCCCAGCCUGGCCCCGGCUGGUCAGUCAGGCCAGACAGGAGGAAGGCGCUAGAGGUGCUGGCAGCUGAACAAAGGGGUCUGGGUCAGUUGGAUACUUCCUCUCCUGCACAAAGCCCUCCUCCCCAGACAUAGCCCUCAGCCUCCAGGACCCCAAAGAAUGUCUGGAAUGUUGUGGGGCCAGACAGCCUCAAGGCUCCUACAGACAGAGGAGACGCUGCCUUUGUACCCGGAAGACUGACCCCAGCCUAGAAGGUCACUCUCUGACCUGUGAUCCUGCUCUCCCACCCCAGUCCCUGGGAUUGGCUGGAUUCCCGCCUCCUUAGGACCCCCAGUGUCCCUUCCAUUCCAGUGGGACCCACCAAAAGCUAAAGAGAAGAGGGAGCUCCUGCUGAUGGUCGCUUGCUCGGCGAGCCCCCACUCUGCCCCAUCAGCCCGUGCAUCAGUGCCAGGCCCACCUUAGGUGCCAGGCCACAGGGGCUCCCUGACUCCUGUGGAAAGGCAGUUUCCUCCUUGAUUCUCCUCCAGGGCUGAGCUUGCUGGUGCCUCAGGGCUCCUCCUUCCUGCUGGGUGCCACACUGCCCCAGGAGCUGGGGAGGGGACUUGUGUGUGAGCAAAACAGAUGUGAAGCCCAUUCCAGCGGGAGAUGACAGACCAUCAGCCUGAAGCCUACAGAGAUCUCAGGAGAUGAGGAGCAUCAGGAGGGAAGGAAGGUUGUGUGGGGGUGGGGUGGCUGCGGGUCAGAGGAACAGGCACUUGAGUGGCAGCCUGAGGGUAAGGUGGUGAGCCUUACCUGUGGCUAUUGAGGGAAGAGAAUUCUACAAAAGAGGAACAGCAGACCACAGCCCUGCUUGUUCAGGGACCAGCAAGGCCAGCAGAGCCAGCAUGGGAGGGGUCAAUCCUAGGUGCCUAAGUCAGGCAGGCAUCAAGGGCCAAGUGGCCUUUGCUGGGCAUCAGCGUUCACUCUGGCGAGUCACAGUCACCACAGGGUUUUGAGUAAAGGAGUGACAGCAGCAGACUUGGGAACUUCAACAGGACCCUCUACUCCCAUAUGGGCACAAGACAAGGGGUGGAGGAAGGAGUCUGAGUCCAGGUAGGAGGUCCCUGGCCCAACCAGGGCCCUGCCACCUGUUUCUCUGAAGUUCAGAGAAACAAACAAAGAAUUUAUAAUUCUAACUAUGUCCCCAAAAUUGAAUGGAAAUACUUUUAGACUAAGUAAAUAAAAAGUCUUUGUUGUAUAUCUGAAACUCAAAUUUAGUGGCAUGUCCUAUAUUUUUUAUUUGCCAUUUCUGGACGCUUCAGUUAGGUGUCACACCUCUGCUUGUUCUUAGUAGCAGCUCCUCUGCAGGAGCGAGACCUGGGGCUGGACAGCUGUCUGGCCACAUCCCUUCCCACUCACCAGGACAGGUGCUCAGCAGGAGGGAGAGCCUGGGACACAGAGAUUCAAAGAACUCCCAUCUGGUGGGAGACAGGCAGACCAAGGUGGUAUCUCCUGCUGGAAGCCAUCCAUGACCCAUAUGUGAACUGAGCCAUGGGUAAACUGAGUGACGUUGAAGCCAUUAGGCAGGGAAGCCUGGUUUCGGGAACUCCCAGUCGGAGUCCACUGGUUUGAGAACGCCCAAUCCAGGUGGCACCCUGUUCUAGCUCCCACUGAAGUUCUAGCAUAGUUUCAGUACCAGAGAUGAGGUGACCCACCAGAGCCACGCAGCCUCUCAGAGAUGGGUGUGACUUGCCAAAAUGCCAAUCAAUCUGUUCACUGCAAGACCCCCGCCACACCCAGAAGCAAGCACCCAACCAAGACUCCUCCUGCUGAAACCUUAUCCCCGCCUUGGUGUACUCCCCCUUGAAUGAAAAAUGGGGCUCUUUCUCAGUUGUUCAGUUCCACUCCUAUCAGGACUGGAAGACCCACCAGGUGCUCCUCUUUGAAUGCAAUUUCUGGCUCUGUCUUUAUUUCUUGCUGAUUAUUUCAGACUUUUAAUUUUCCCAGGCAGCUCACACCUCUUGGGUAGGAACCUACCCUGUUGGGGUGCGGGUCACAUCCCUAUAAUCUCCCCACUCUGAGCCCCAAGCUCAGGGUUGGGACUCCCUGGGGAUCCAGAAGCCCCUUCUCCGUCUCUGGCUCAGAGUUGCCCUGGGACCCAGGGGCUGCCCUGGCUUCUCUAAAGCUUGACCCACAGUCUGGCCUGCAGCUUGAGGCCCCCAGUGGAGUCGGAGGCUGAC
rnacentral:lncRNA from 1 species